AAGAACCUUACCAGGUCUUGACAUCCGAUGCUAUUCUAGAGAUAGAAAGUUACUUCGGUACAUCGGUGACAGGUGGUGCAUGGUUGUCGUCAGCUCGUGCGUGAGAUGUUGGGUUAAGUCCCGCAACGAGCGCAACCCCUAUUGUUAGUUGCCAUCAUUCAGUUGGGCACUCUAGCGAGACUGCCGGUAAUAAACCGGAGAAGGUGGGGAUGACGUCAAAUCAUCAUGCCCCUUAUGACCUGGGCUACACACGUGCUACAAUGGUUGGUACAACGAGUUGCGAGUCGGUGACGGCGAGCUAAUCUCUUAAAGCCAAUCUCAGUUCGGAUUGUAGGCUGCAACUCGCCUACAUGAAGUCGGAAUCGCUAGUAAUCGCGGAUCAGCACGCCGCGGUGAAUACGUUCCCGGGCCUU
rnacentral:rRNA from 1 species